rnacentral:rRNA from 1 species
CAAUAGCGUAUAUUAAAGUUGUUGCAGUUAAAAAGCUCGUAGUUGGGUUUCUGGUUGAAGCGACCGGUCGGGCGUUGAUUCGUCUGCACUGGAGUCGGUUUUGGCCAUCCUCUAGGAAAGUGCGUCUGGUAUUAAGUUAUCGGGCGUAUGAUCCUGGUCUUUUACUGUGAAAAAAUUAGAGUGUUUAAAGCAGGCCUUCGCCUUGAAUACAUUAGCAUGGAAUAAUAAGAUAGGACUUUGGUCUAUUUUGUUGGUUUGCAGACCGAAGUAAUGAUUAAUAGGGAUAGUUGGGGGUAUUUAUAUUCCGAUGUCAGAGGUGAAAUUCUUAGAUUUUCGGAAGAUAAACUUAUGCGAAAGCAUUUACCAAGGAUGUUUUCAUUAA